AGUGAACGCUGGCGGCAGGCCUAACACAUGCAAGUCGAACGGCAGCACAGUAAGAGCUUGCUCUUACGGGUGGCGAGUGGCGGACGGGUGAGGAAUACAUCGGAAUCUACUUUUUCGUGGGGGAUAACGUAGGGAAACUUACUCUAAUACCGCAUACGACCUACGGGUGAAAGCAGGGGAUCUUCGGACCUUGCUCGAUUGAAUGAGCCGAUGUCGGAUUAGCUAGUUGGCGGGGUAAAGGCCCACCAAGGCGACGAUCCGUAGCCGGUCGGAGAGGAUGGUCGGCGACACUGGAACUGAGACACGGUCCAGACUCCUACGGGAGGCAGCAGUGGGGAAUAUUGGACAAUGGGCGCAAGCCUGAUCCAGCCGUAGCGCGUGGGUGAAGAAGGCCUUGGGGUUGUGAAGCCAUUUUGUUGGGAAAGAAAAGCAGCCGGUUAAGACGCCGCUGUUCUGACGGUACCGGAAGAAUAAGCACCGGCUAACUUCGUG
rnacentral:rRNA from 1 species